rnacentral:rRNA from 1 species
UACGUAGGUGGCAAGCGUUGUCCGGAUUUAUUGGGUUUAAAGGGUGCGUAGGCGGCCCUGUAAGUCAGUGCUGAAAUAUCCCGGCUUAACCGGGAGGGUGGCAUUGAUACUGUAGGGCUUGGGUAGAGUUGAGGUUGGCGGAAUUGACGGUGUAGCGGUGAAAUGCUUAGAUAUCGUCAAGAACACCGAUAGUGUAGACAGCUAACUAAGCUCUAACUGACGCUGAGGCACGAAAGUGUGGGGAUCAAACAGG